AUUGAACGCUGGCGGCAGGCUUAACACAUGCAAGUCGAACGAUGACUCUCUAGCUUGCUAGAGAAGAUUAGUGGCGGACGGGUGAGUAACAUUUAGGAAUCUGCCUAGUAGUGGGGGAUAGCUCGGGGAAACUCGAAUUAAUACCGCAUACGACCUACGGGUGAAAGGGGGCGCAAGCUCUUGCUAUUAGAUGAGCCUAAAUCAGAUUAGCUAGUUGGUGGGGUAAAGGCCCACCAAGGCGACGAUCUGUAACUGGUCUGAGAGGAUGAUCAGUCACACCGGAACUGAGACACGGUCCGGACUCCUACGGGAGGCAGCAGUGGGGAAUAUUGGACAAUGGGGGCAACCCUGAUCCAGCCAUGCCGCGUGUGUGAAGAAGGCCUUUUGGUUGUAAAGCACUUUAAGCAGGGAGGAGAGGCUAAUGGUUAAUACCCAUUAGAUUAGACGUUACCUGCAGAAUAAGCACCGGCUAACUCUGUGCCAGCAGCCGCGGUAAUACAGAGGGUGCGAGCGUUAAUCGGAAUUACUGGGCGUAAAGCGAGUGUAGGUGGCUCAUUAAGUCACAUGUGAAAUCCCCGGGCUUAACCUGGGAACUGCAUGUGAUACUGGUGGUGCUAGAAUAUGUGAGAGGGAAGUAGAAUUCCAGGUGUAGCGGUGAAAUGCGUAGAGAUCUGGAGGAAUACCGAUGGCGAAGGCAGCUUCCUGGCAUAAUAUUGACACUGAGAUUCGAAAGCGUGGGUAGCAAACAGGAUUAGAUACCCUGGUAGUCCACGCCGUAAACGAUGUCUACUAGCCGUUGGGGUCCUUGAGACUUUAGUGGCGCAGUUAACGCGAUAAGUAGACCGCCUGGGGAGUACGGCCGCAAGGUUAAAACUCAAAUGAAUUGACGGGGGCCCGCACAAGCGGUGGAGCAUGUGGUUUAAUUCGAUGCAACGCGAAGAACCUUACCUGGUCUUGACAUAGUGAGAAUCUCUCAGAGAUGAGAGAGUGCCUUCGGGAACUCACAUACAGGUGCUGCAUGGCUGUCGUCAGCUCGUGUCGUGAGAUGUUGGGUUAAGUCCCGCAACGAGCGCAACCCUUUUCCUUAUUUGCCAGCGGGUUAAGCCGGGAACUUUAAGGAUACUGCCAGUGACAAACUGGAGGAAGGCGGGGACGACGUCAAGUCAUCAUGGCCCUUACGACCAGGGCUACACACGAGCUACAAUGGUAGGUACAGAGGGUUGCUACACAGCGAUGUGAUGCUAAUCUCAAAAAGCCUAUCGUAGUCCGGAUUGGAGUCUGCAACUCGACUCCAUGAAGUCGGAAUCGCUAGUAAUCGCGGAUCAGAAUGCCGCGGUGAAUACGUUCCCGGGCCU
rnacentral:rRNA from 1 species